CUACUUAUAUACCCCGUAUAAUUUCAAGCCUGUGCUGUGUACGGCAGCCUUGAAACUUAAACAUACAGUCGUAUUUUUUGUGCUUCAGGUUGGAGAACUUUUGUUUUCUACAACAGCUGUUCGUUCGUAGUAGUCAGUAGGCAAAAAGUUAUAUUUGAGAUGUAAGCGGUGCGCUGGUGCUUGGAAAUUUUUUAUUAUUAAUUCGUCCGUUAAAAGUGUAGAAAAAACUAAAUAAUGAAUUAUAUUGGAGGCUCCCGUUAUCUACAGUACUUAGCAACAAUAUCAGAGAAAAACGAAGUGGACGUAAAUAACGGAAUAUUAGAAUUAGAUAAAAGAAGAAAACAAUAAGAAUAUUAUAUAUAUCGGACUGUUGUACUCUCAGUGAGACAAAGUUCGUACGUGUAAAGAAUGUCCUUCUCCUUGUAAGAGGAAUUCUCAUUUAUAUAAGGUUCUAUAUCUCGCAGUCAAGAGAAUAUUAUAAAUGCCAAAGUGUUGCAUCUCCGAGUGAGUCAAAUUUCGUACUUUUAGAGGAUGGCCAUAUGAGAGAGAUUCCUUUUAUAAGUCAAUAUUGAUAUCCCACUAUCGAGAGAUAAAUUACAGGUAUCACAGGUAAGUAUCUUAUAAUAUUUAUUUUCAGGUAAUUAAAUAAUGGAGGGAAAUAAUUGAAGUGGAAGCAAAUCUCUAAAUGUAGAAAUUAGAGGCAAGGAGGAGACAAUGGAAGUAGACAAAUGGAGAAAGCAAUAAGAAUAUCGUAUAUAUCGAACUGUUGUGCUCCCAGUGAGACAAAGUUUCCUAUUUAGAGAAUGCCCUUCUCCUCGUGAAAGGGAUUCCUAUUAUAUGAGGUUAGAAAUCUGGCUAUCAAAUAAUAUUAUAAAUAUCGAACUGUUGUUUUCCCAGUGACGCAAAGUUUCCUAUUUAUAGAGAAUGCCCUUCUCCUCGUGAGGGGGAUUCCUAUUGUAUGAGGUUCUAAAUCUCUCUAUCAAGAGAAUAUUAUAAAUACCGAAGUUGUGCCGAAGUGUUGUAUCACCCAGGGAGUCAAAUUUCUCAUUUUUCGAGAAUGGCCGUCUCCGUGUGAGGGAUUCCUUUUAUAAGUCAUUGUUGAUAUCCCCUAUCGAGAUAUUAAUUACACGUAUUACCGGUGAGUAUCUUAUAAUACUUAUUUUUAGGAAAUUAAAUAAUGAAUGGAAAUAAUUAAAGUAAAAGCAAAUUUCGAAAUAUGGAAAUUAGAGGCAAGGAGGAAACAAUGGAAUUAGACAAAAAGAAAAAAUGAGAAUAACAUAUAUAUAUCGAACUGUUGUCCUCUCCGUGAGACAAAGUUUCGUACUUACAGAGAAUGCCCUUCUCUUCGUGAGAGGGAUUCCUAUUAUAUGAGAUUCUAGAUCUCGCAAUCAACAGAGUACUAUAAAUGCCGAAGUGUUUUAUCUCCCAGCAAUGAAAUAAGGUAUGAAACAAAAUUUUGUACUUUUAGAAAAUGCCUAUCUCUGGAAUGGAUUUCUUUUUUUAUGAGAUUUUAGAUCUCACUCUCAAGGGAAUAUUAUUUAUAUAUUUAGGUGCCAAAUAUUUGUAUCUCCCAGUGAGACAAAAUUUCGUACUUUUAGAGAAUGCCCAUCUCCGUGUGGGAGGGAUUUCUUUUAUACGUUAUCGAUAGCCUUAUCGAAAAAUUAAUUACACGUAUUACAUGUAAGUCUUUUAGAAUAUUUAUUUUUAGACGAAUAUUGGAUGGAAAUAAAUAGAAGUACAUCCCGAAAUGUGGGGAUUAGAGGAAAGGAGAAAACAAAGGGAUGAGGAAUAUUGUAUAAACACGGACUGUUCUUCUCCCAGUGUUCUUUUCAUAGCGAGACAAAGUGAAUGCCCUUCUCCGUGUGAAAGGGAUUCCUUUAUAAAUGACGUUCUCGGUCUCGUUAUCGUAGAAGUAGAUUUCACAAAAGAAUUUCAAGUGAUAAAUCUAAAAAUUUUAGACCCUCAAAAAAAAAACGAUAUAUUUCAACAGGAAAACUCCCCCACACAUUAUAUUUAUAAGGCUGUACGUUCAAAAAGCAGGACAGUCGUUAUUUAAGUGUCACUAUCUCAUAACAGAUCGAACACAAGGUCAGCAACUAGGAAGAGGAAAAUAACCAAAUCUAGCGAUUUGUGCAGUUUGUUGGGGGAAGGGCAAUCCAAAGAGACUACAGAACAUUCGACUCUUCGAUGAUGAUACAUUCUUCUUCGGGAGACGAAUUCAGUCUUAGCCAAUGAUCUGGCUUCAGCACAGAACAAGGUCCAACUUUUAUAUCUGAGAAAAUAUUUUAGCUCCCUAAUUUACCAAGGAGCCAUGGCAUGUCGCCUAUCCUCUCCUGUGUCAUAAUUGUUAA